rnacentral:rRNA from 1 species
AGAGUUUUGAUUCCUGGCUCAGAUUGAACGCUGGCGGCAUGCCUAACACAUGCAAGUCGAACGGCAGCACAGCAGAGCUUGCUUCUUGUGGGUGGCGAGUGGCGGACGGGUGAGUAAUGCAUCGGGACCUACCCAGACGUGGGGGAUAACGUAGAGGAAACUUACGCUAAUACCGCAUACGUCCUACGGGAGAAAGCAGGGGACCUUCGGGCCUUGCGCGGUUGGACGGACCGAUGUGCGAUUAGCUAGUUGGUAGGGUAAUGGCCUACCAAGGCGACGAUCGCUAGCUGGUCUGAGAGGAUGAUCAGCCACACUGGGACUGAGACACGGCCCAGACUCCUACGGGAGGCAGCAGUGGGGAAUAUUGGACAAUGGGCGCAAGCCUGAUCCAGCAAUGCCGCGUGUGUGAAGAAGGCCCUCGGGUUGUAAAGCACUUUUAUCAGGAACGAAAUACCACGGGUUAAUACCCUAUGGGGCUGACGGUACCUGAGGAAUAAGCACCGGCUUAAACUUUUCGUGGCCCAC